ensembl:snRNA U6 U6 spliceosomal RNA
GAGCUCACUUCGGCAGCACAUAUACUAAAAUUGGAACGAUACAGAGAUUAGCAUGGCCGCUGUGCACGGAUGACACAAAAAUUCGUGAAACUUUCCGUAUUUUU